rnacentral:rRNA from 1 species
CCUACGGGAGGCAGCAGUGAGGAAUAUUGGUCAAUGGGCGAGAGCCUGAACCAGCCAAGUCGCGUGAAGGAUGAAGGAUCUAUGGUUUGUAAACUUCUUUUAUAUGGGAAUAAAGUGAGGAACGUGUUCCUUUUUGUAUGUACCAUAUGAAUAAGCAUCGGCUAACUCCGUGCCAGCAGCCGCGGUAAUACGGAGGAUGCGAGCGUUAUCCGGAUUUAUUGGGUUUAAAGGGUGCGUAGGUGGUUAAUUAAGUCAGCGGUGAAAUUUUGUGGCUCAACCCUAACAUUGCCGUUGAAACUGGUUGACUUGAGUAUAUUUGAGGUAGGCGGAAUGCGUGGUGUAGCGGUGAAAUGCAUAGAUAUCACGCAGAACUCCGAUUGCGAAGGCAGCUUACUAAACUGCCACUGACGUUGAUGCUCGAAAGUGUGGGUAUCGAACAGGAUUAGAUACCCCAGUAGUC